GGACAGGGAGGGAGGGGGCACAAUAUAUGGGUGUGGGACAAUAUUCCUUUUGUACUGCUAUACUAUGUGCAUACUGCAAUCAAUCUUCAGCAUCAUGUCCGGUGUCCUUGUCCAAUGAGAGUACCUACACGUCUUAUUCUAUAUGGCCUCAAGUCUUACAGUAGACAAUGGAGUUGAGACAUGUCUUUUGCAACAUCUUCCUCUCCCUCCAAUGUAAGGAACACAGAUAAAAAUUCUGAUCUAUGGUAAAUCUGGGCUGUUUUGUGUGUGGAUGUGUUGAAAAUGUUGUAAGCUGAAGAGUAAUGAAUUGUAUGUUUUUAUCUUUCUCUCCUCUGUGUCCUAAGUGGGUGUGUAGAGCCUGAAGCUGCAGAUGAACAUGAAACAGAAGAGAACCAAACAGAGAAAGUGACGGAGUGUUAAAACCUCUUUAAUCUCUAUAAGAGCAUGUGGUCUCCUCUCCAGCUCCCAUCAACCCCCAGGAGAAGAUGAAGGGAGCUUUGAGUCUCUCAGGCGGAAGGUUGAAGCACAUCCCCAACACCCAGACAGAUGUAAAGAAGUUGGGAACCUCCCAGCCAUCAUCUUGUUCUUGGAGAUAGAAAUAGAUCCACACAUGUUAUUCUCUAUCAUGCAGAGUUCUCUAUCAUGCUCAUUCAAUAAUAGACGUGGGUGAUUUCUGUCCCAGGGUACUGAA